rnacentral:hammerhead_ribozyme from 1 species
GCACUUCUGAGGAGUCCCAAAGUAGAACGAAACGGUCGUCCAGUAC